rnacentral:rRNA from 1 species
UCAAGCAGAAAGGGCACAGGGCGGAUGCCUUGGCACUAAGGGCCGAAGAAAGACGUGAUAAGCUGCGAUAAGCUUCGGGGAGGAGCAAAUAUCCAUUGAUCCGGAGAUCUCUGAAUGGGGAAACCCACAUGAGCAAACCUCAUGUAUCCAUACGCCAAUCCAUAACGUAUGGAGGGGAACCCGGGGAACUGAAACAUCUAAGUACCCGGAGGAAAAGAAAGAAAACUCGAUUCCGUAAGUAGCGGCGAGCGAACGCGGAAGAGCCUAAACCAGGUCGCGUGCGAUCUGGGGUUACGGACUGCAUUUAAGAUUCUGUGAUGUUAGUAGAACGGUUUUGGGAAAGCCGGCCGGAGAGGGUGAAAGCCCCGUACACGAAAACAGAGCAGACUGAGCAGGAUCCAGAGUACCGCGGGACACGAGAAACCCUGCGGGAAGUCAGGGGGACCACCCCCUAAGGCUAAAUACCACUUAGUGACCGAUAGCGCAUAGUACUGUGAAGGAAAGGUGAAAAGGACCCCGGGAGGGGAGUGAAAGAGAACCUGAAACCCUGUGUCUACAAGCUGUGGGAGUGCCCUAUGAGCACGACCGCGUACUUUUUGUAGAACGGUCCGGCGAGUUGCGCACACUGGCAAGGUUAAGGACUCAAGGUCCGGAGCCGUAGGGAAACCAAGUCUUAAGAGGGCCAGAGUCAGUGUGGGCAGACCCGAAACCGGGUGAUCUAUCCAUGUCCAGGUUGAAGCUGCCGUAAGAGGCAGUGGAGGACCGAACCCACAUCCGUUGAAAAGGGUGGGGAUGAGGUGUGGAUAGGGGAGAAAUUCCAAUCGAACCCGGAGAUAGCUGGUUCUCCUCGAAAUAGCUUUAGGGCUAGCCUUGGUAGAGAUUUGCGGAGGUAGAGCACUGAAUUUCCUAGGGGGCGUCAAAGCCUACCGAAGAAUAUCAAACUCCGAAUGCCGCGUAAUUGCUUACCGGGAGUCAGACUGCACGAGAUAAGUUGGGCAGUCAAAAGGGAAAGAGCCCAGACCUUCAGUUAAGGUCCCAAAGUGUACGUUAAGUGGAAAAGGAUGUGGGAUUUCGAAGACAACCAGGAUGUUGGCUCAGAAGCAGCCAUUCAUUCAAAGAGUGCGUAAUAGCUCACUGGUCGAGAGGUCCUGCGCCGAAAAUGUCCGGGGCUGAAACGUACCACCGAAACUAAGGAAUCCGAAAGGAUUGGUAGAGGAGCAUUGCAUGCGGGAAGAAGCAGUACCGUAAGGAGCUGUGGACUGCAUGGAAGAGAGAAUGCCGGAAUGAGUAGCGAGAUAGAGGUGAGAAUCCUCUAGGCCGAAUAUCCAAGGUUUCCAGGGUAAAGCUGAUCUGCCCUGGGUAAGUCGGGGCCUAAGGUGAGGACGAGAGUCGUAGCCGAUGGACAACAGGUGGAGAUUCCUGUACUAUGAUAUGACAGAACUGUGGGGACACGUGCAGAGAGCGGAAGCCGGGAACGGUAUCCCGGUGCAAGCGAGGUACCAGAUGCGUUGGAAAAACCGCGCAUCAAUGGGAAGACGUGAUGCGGAAUGAAGUUUAGUAAUGAAGUCCGUGAGCUGUGCGUCAAGAAAAGCCGCUAUUGUUCAUACCAUACCCGUACCGUAAACCGACACAGGUGGAUGAGGAGAGAAUCCUAAGGCCGGCGGAAGAAGCAUUGUCAAGGAACUCGGCAAAAUGACCCCGUAACUUCGGGAGAAGGGGUGCCACUGAGAAGUGGCCGCAGAGAAUAGGCUCAAGCAACUGUUUAGCAAAAACACAGGUCUAUGCGAAACCGUAAGGUGAGGUAUAUGGGCUGACGCCUGCCCGGUGCUGGAAGGUUAAGAGGAGAGGUUAGCGCAAGCGAAGCUUUGAAUUUAAGCCCCAGUAAACGGCGGCCGUAACUAUAACGGUCCUAAGGUAGCGAAAUUCCUUGUCGGGUAAGUUCCGACCCGCACGAAAGGCGUAAUGAUUUGAGCGCUGUCUCGACAAUGCAUCCGGUGAAAUUGAAGUACCAGUGAAGAUGCUGGUUAC